GACGAACGCUGGCGGCGUGCUUAACACAUGCAAGUCGAACGGAAAGGCCCCUUCGGGGGUGCUCGAGUGGCGAACAGGUGAGUAACACGUGAGUAACCUGCCCUCGACUUCGGUAUAACUUCAUGAAACUGGGGCUAAUACCGGAUAGGAAUCCUUUCUGCAUGCUGGGUGUUGGAAAGCUUCGUCGGUUGGGGGGGGACUCGCGCCUGAUCAGCUUGUUGGUGGGGUAGGGGCUUACAAAGGCUUUGACGGGUAGCCGGCCUGAGAGGGCGACCGGCCAAUUUGGACCUGGGUUACGCCCAGAACUCCUACGGGGGGCAGCGGUGGGAAUAAUGGCAAAUGGGCGGGAGGCUGAUGGCAGAACGGCGCGGGCGGGAAGACGGGCUUCGGGUUGUAAACCGGCUUCCGCAGGGGAGAAGCUUGUGGUGACGGUACCUGGAGAAGAAGCACCGGCUAACUACGUG
rnacentral:rRNA from 1 species